rnacentral:rRNA from 1 species
GCUUAACACAUGCAAGUCGAGGGGCAGCAUGGUCUUAGCUUGCUAAGGCCGAUGGCGACCGGCGCACGGGUGAGUAACACGUAUCCAACCUGCCGUCUACUCUUGGACAGCCUUCUGAAAGGAAGAUUAAUACAAGAUGGCAUCAUGAGUUCACAUGUUCACAUGAUUAAAGGUAUUCCGGUAGACGAUGGGGAUGCGUUCCAUUAGAUAGUAGGCGGGGUAACGGCCCACCUAGUCUUCGAUGGAUAGGGGUUCUGAGAGGAAGGUCCCCCACAUUGGAACUGAGACACGGUCCAAACUCCUACGGGAGGCAGCAGUGAGGAAUAUUGGUCAAUGGGCGAGAGCCUGAACCAGCCAAGUAGCGUGAAGGAUGACUGCCCUAUGGGUUGUAAACUUCUUUUAUAAAGGAAUAAAGUCGGGUAUGGAUACCCGUUUGCAUGUACUUUAUGAAUAAGGAUCGGCUAACUCCGUGCCAGCAGCCGCGGUAAUACGGAGGAUCCGAGCGUUAUCCGGAUUUAUUGGGUUUAAAGGGAGCGUAGAUGGAUGUUUAAGUCAGUUGUGAAAGUUUGCGGCUCAACCGUAAAAUUGCAGUUGAUACUGGAUAUCUUGAGUGCAGUUGAGGCAGGCGGAAUUCGUGGUGUAGCGGUGAAAUGCUUAGAUAUCACGAAGACUCCGAUUGCGAAGGCAGCCUGCUAAGCUGCAACUGACAUUGAGGCUCG